ensembl:lncRNA
AAGGGAACGUACUCGGUUACUAAUGUAACCUCGGUUCCCUGAAAUACGGGAACGAGUACUGCAUUCCUUGCCAUGCUAAAAGGCUGCACGACUCAGUCGUCGCUUCAGUAGAAGUAACCUGAAUUCCUGUGGCGAAGCAGCCAAUAUAUAGCCAGAUCCCCCGCCCAUUUUGGCGGGCUUCGCUGCCAUAGGUUCGUGCAGCACCGCUGCCGAGCCAUUGGUUUGUUUUAAUAACACUGCACGAACCAACGGCCGUGCAGUUUCACUGCGUGAUUGAAUAAGGCUUCAGUUCAGGAGAAAAAAGGAGUUUUUCCCAUAAGCGUCUUCGACGCAGUACUCGUUCCCAUAUUUCAGGGAACCGAGGUUACGUUAGUAACCGAGUACGUUUUCCCUUAUGCAAAAUGCAUAGCGAUAUUGUAAAAUGAAGCAAAUAAAUGGCAUAUAUCACAAAAAUAUAGAGAACACUUAUUCUUUAAUAGAUAUUAAAUAUACGGAUGGUUGCAUGUGUAGUGUCAAUUGUAUUUUUUUAGUGUCUUGAUAUAAAAUAUUACAUGUUCAUACCACAUAUAUUGAUAGUCCACGUAUAUACGAAUAUACUGUAUAUUUAAUUUGUGUUGUAUGUGGUUUUCUAAUAGUGAAGGUACUUCACAAUCCUUAUCAACAAUAGUCAAAGUGGUAGGCGUUGUCCUCAUUGUCAUUUAUGUUUGAAGGCCACAAUAGCCCUGCAAUGCCAGUUGCAUAACCUGGAGGCCAUGAAAACGGAAAUGGACGUCUCAGACAAUCAACUGGAGAGAUGGAUCAUUGAUAUCAAUGAGUGGGCAGAAGCAACAACAUCCCCAAAUGAUGCUGAUGUUGCCGCUGUUGCCAGCCGAAUUGAGGAGCUGGUGGCAAGUGUUAAGAGGAGGUCCCAGCAUUUUUACAAGGAUAGUGACGGAUGCAAAGGACGUGCCCGAAUCCGCCGAAAGAUCAGGGAGGAAAAAAAAAUCUUAAAUUCUGUAGUGGAAAAGUACAACACCUUGGUUCCUAAUGCAGAAAAACUGUCAUUGGACACCAUUCUAUCUGACGAGAUUGUUUGGCCAUGGCAGCUUACACACGGUGACUCUGUAGAUCUAAGGACAAAGAGGAAGGCGUUUGACAUUGUGAUGGCAGUAAGGAGACUUGAGGAGGAGAAGAGGAUUCUUAUUGCAGAGAUGAACAAGCAUUGGAAGUCUCUUUGCUCCCGUGCAGACACCCUGAAGCAGAUGUCAUCCCAGCUUUCUAAUGUGACAUCAGGUAUGUAUUUGUUAUACUUGGCAUACAUUACAAUAUUUCUGAAUGUUUCUAAUUAAUAAAGGCUCAAUAUGUUUUAACAUGUAAGGUGAGACGUGGGGCCUGCUUCAAGAUGGUAUCCGAGGUCUACAGAGCUUGACGAUGAAGAACAAGCAAGCAAGCAACAGCCUGGCAAAGCAUGCAAAGAAAUAUUAUGUUCAAGUUCUGACUGAAACAGAAAUUAACUUUGAUAGUGAUUCUGAGGAAUACCAUACCAGUAGUGACUCUGAGCAAGAUUAAACAUGGCCAGAGUCCUUUUUAUGCUGUUGUGUGCUGGGGAGGCAGCAUUAAAGAAGAGGGCCGCUGGGACAGGUUGUUAAGGAAAGCUGGCUCUGUGUUUGGCAUGGAGCUGGAGUUAAUUAUUUAACAAACUGAGGAUAAUUUGCAGUAGCAGUCUUCUGUCAUGCUCAACACUGAAGAGGUCCUUUGUCCCCAGGGCAAACCAGCAACUCAAUGUCACAGAAAAGGUUAGGGGAGAAAUUGACUUUUCAGCAUGAGUCUCACCCUGCGCCAACCAUUACAUCACUUUGUCUAUUGUCUAGUAUCCACUAUCCAUUUGACUGUCUUACACAGUCAAAUGGACAUUAGCCCCUCUACACAUUCUGG